CAGGGACCCAGAGUGCAAGCAGUGGGGAUUGAACCGGGUACUUGCAUCCUUCUCUAAGUGCAAGCACGCUGCUCUGACCACUAGGCUAACACUCCCCAGUGUGUGUCCAUCAGUGUCCAUCAGUGGGUGUAGGUGUGGGUGUGUCCAUCAGUGGGUGUAGGUGUGGGUGUGUCCAUCAGUGGGUGUAGGCGUGGGUGUGUCCAUCAGUGUUUCUCCAUCAGUGGGUGUAGGUGUAGGUGUGUCCAUCAGUGGGUGUGGGUGUGUCCAUCAGUGUUUCUCCAUCAGUGGGUGUAGGUGUGGGUGUAGGUGUAGGUGUGUCCAUCAGUGGGUGUAGGUGUGGGUGUGUCUAUCAGUGGGUGUAGGUGUGGGUGUGUCCAUCAGUGGGUGUAGGUGUGGGUGUGUCCAUCAGUGGGUGUAGGCGUGGGUGUGUCCAUCAGUGGGUGUAGGUGUGGGUGUGUCCAUCAGUGGGUGUAGGCGUGGGUGUGUCCAUCAGUGGGUGUAGGCGUGGGUGUGUCCAUCAGUGGGUGUAGGUGUGGGUGUGUCCAUCAGUGGGUGUAGGUGUGGGUGUGUCCAUCAGUGUUUCUCCAUCAGUGGGUGUAGGUGUAGGUGUGUCCAUCAGUGGGUGUAGGCGUGGGUGUGUCCAUCAGUGGGUGUAGGUGUGGGUGUGUCUAUCAGUGGGUGUAGGUGUGGGUGUGUCCAUCAGUGGGUGUAGGUGUGGGUGUGUCCAUCAGUGGGUGUGGGUGUGUCCAUCAGUGUUUCUCCAUCAGUGGGUGUAGGUGUGGGUGUGUCCAUCAGUGGGUGUAGGCGUGGGUGUGUCCAUCAGUGUUUCUCCAUCAGUGGGUGUAGGUGUAGGUGUGUCCAUCAGUGGGUGUGGGUGUGUCCAUCAGUGGGUGUAGGUGUAGGUGUGUCCAUCAGUGGGUGUGGGUGUGUCCAUCAGUGUUUCUCCAUCAGUGGGUGUAGGUGUGGGUGUGUCCAUCAGUGGGUGUAGGCGUGGGUGUGUCCAUCAGUGGGUGUAGGUGUGGGUGUAGGUGUGGGUGUGUCCAUCAGUGGGUGUAGGUGUGGGUGUGUCCAUCAGUGGGUGUAGGCGUGGGUGUGUCCAUCAGUGGGUGUAGGCGUGGGUGUGUCCAUCAGUGGGUGUAGGUGUGGGUGUGUCCAUCAGUGGGUGUAGGUGUGGGUGUGUCCAUCAGUGUUUCUCCAUCAGUGGGUGUAGGUGUAGGUGUGUCCAUCAGUGGGUGUAGGUGUGUGUGUGUCCAUCAGUGGGUGUAGGCGUGGGUGUGUCCAUCAGUGGGUGUAGGUGUGGGUGUGUCCAUCAGUGGGUGCGGGUGUGUCCA